rnacentral:rRNA from 1 species
AUGUGUGUUCCAAAAGAUCAAGAAGGUAUGGGCUUUCGAGAUAUACAUUGUUUCAACUUGGCAUUGUUAGCCAAACAAGCGUGGCGCCUUCUUGAUAAUCCCGAGUCCUUAUGUGCCACUAUAUUGAGAGCAAAGUAUUUUCCUGAUGGUGAUCUGAUGAAUGCAAGUCUGAAAAAUGGCUCUUCUUUUACUUGGCAAAGCAUUAGGGCGGGAGUAAACUCAUUGAAAAAUGGUUAUAUAUGGCGUGUUGGAAAUGGACAGAACAUCGACAUUUGGAAAGAUGCAUGUAUUCCAAAUUGUGCAAAUAGGAAAAUUAUUACCCCUAGAAGAGGGCACCUUCUAUCAAAGGUUUCAGAUCUUAUUGAUCCAACGAAUGUUUGGGAUGAUGACUUGGUGAGACAAACAUUGUGGCCAAUUGAUGCCCAACGAGUCCUAACCAUUCCCCUAUCCAUGCAUAAUUUAUCGGAUUUUAUUGCUUGGAGUUACACAAGAAAUGGGUUGUUCACCGUGCGAUCAGCUUACUUGGCGCAAUGGAAUAAGCAACAUGGGAUGAAAUUGCAACAUACUGAUGGUAUGGGAAGAACUAAUCUCAAUCCCAUCUGGUGUAAGAUUUGGAAGUUAUCGUGUAUGGCAAAGGUAAAAAUCUUUAUUUGGCGUACGUUGCAUGGAACUCUGCCGUGUCGUGUUACACUUGCCAACAGACACAUGAAAGUCUCCCCUAUUUGCCCUUCCUGUUCUAGGGGGACAGAAGACACAAAACAUGUGUUAUUUCUUUGUCAUAAAGCAAAGGGGGUUUGGAAAAAAUUAGGGAUGUAUGAGAUGAUUAACACGGCGUGUGCU